UGGGCGUAAGGGUGUGUAGGCGGUUCUUUAAGUUUGGUGUGAAAUCUCCCGGCUCAACCGGGAGGGUGCGCCGAAAACUGGGGGACUGGAGUGCGGGAUGGGAGAGUAGAAUUCCUGGUGUAGCGGUGAAAUGCGUAGAUAUCAGGAGGAAUACCGGUGGUGUAGACGGCUCUCUGGACCGCCACUGACGCUGAGACACGAAAGCGUGGGUAGCAAACAGGAUUAGAUACCCUGGUAGUCCACGCCCUAAACGAUGCAUAUUUGGUGUAGGUCAUUCAGUUGAUCUGUGCCGGAGCUAACGCGUUAAAUAUGCCGCCUGGGGAGUACAGUCGCAAGGCUGAAACUCAAAGGAAUUGACGGGGGCCCGCACAAGCGGUGGAGCAUGUGGUUCAAUUCGACGCAACGCGAAGAACCUUACCUGGGCUCGAACGGCUGGUCAACGGCGGUGGAAACAUCGCUACUCCGCAAGGGGGUCCAGUCGAGGUGCUGCAUGGCUGUCGUCAGCUCGUGUCGUGAGAUGUUGGGUUAAGUCCCGCAACGAGCGCAACCCUUGUCCUGUGUUGCCAGUCCGCAAGGAGGGACUCGCAGGAGACCGCCAGCGAUAAGCUGGAGGAAGGUGGGGAUGACGUCAAGUCCUCAUGGCCUUUAUGUCCAGGGCUACACACGUGCUACAAU
rnacentral:rRNA from 1 species